rnacentral:rRNA from 1 species
GAUGAACGCUGGCGGCGUGCCUAAUACAUGCAAGUCGAGCGAACAGAUGAGGAGCUUGCUCCUCUGACGUUAGCGGCGGACGGGUGAGUAACACGUGGAUAACCUACCUAUAAGACUGGGAUAACUUCGGGAAACCGGAGCUAAUACCGGAUAAUAUAUUGAACCGCAUGGUUCAAUAGUGAAAGACGGUUUUGCUGUCACUUAUAGAUGGAUCCGCGCCGCAUUAGCUAGUUGGUAAGGUAACGGCUUACCAAGGCAACGAUGCGUAGCCGACCUGAGAGGGUGAUCGGCCACACUGGAACUGAGACACGGUCCAGACUCCUACGGGAGGCAGCAGUAGGGAAUGUUCCGCAAUGGGCGAAAGCCUGACGGAGCAACGCCGCGUGAGUGAUGAAGGUCUUCGGAUCGUAAAACUCUGUUAUUAGGGAAGAACAAAUGUGUAAGUAACUAUGCACGUCUUGACGGUACCUAAUCAGAAAGCCACGGCUAACUACGUG